UUCUCCCGACAUCCUACAAUAAAUUUAAACAACUUGAUUAGUACUUCACCAGUACAAAAUUCUCACACUAUGUGUCCACAUAUCUCACUAUCGAUACGCUUCGACAAUCCCUCACUUAGUACUCUAAAUAAGUAUUCUAUAUCUCGCUUAUGGUUAUAAUCCUAGGGUUUUCCCCACCCUACUUAAUGUUUAUAAUCUACAGCUUUGAUACCAACUUGUGAUGCUCAUGGUGCUUCCAACCAUAGCACCUCACAGUGAUACCUAUCAACUUGUUAUCGACUCGCUCGGCGUCCCUUAUGGAAAGUCUGGCUUCGGUGCCUUCCCUUAAAGGGAUAUCACCAGAUAAAGGCUCGGGGCUCUUUGUAAAUUCAUGCUUAUAGCUUUGAUACCAACCUGUGACACCCCCAAAUCCGGGUUACCUGACCCCCGAGUUUGGUGCUCACGAUCCACAAUAUAUUAACAUCUAACUACCCAUUCAAAU
rnacentral:lncRNA from 1 species